AAACCAACAGGGAUUGCCUCAGUAACGGCGAGUGAAGCGGCAAAAGCUCAAAUUUGAAAUCUAGCACCUUCGGUGUUCGAGUUGUAAUUUGAAGAUGGUAACCUUGGGUUUGGCUCUGUCUAUGUUCCUUGGAACAGGACGUCAUAGAGGGUGAGAAUCCCGUCUGAUGAGAUGCCCAUUCCUAUGUAAGGUGCUAUCGAAGAGUCGAGUUGUUUGGGAAUGCAGCUCUAAGUGGGUGGUAAAUUCCAUCUAAAGCUAAAUAUUGGCGAGAGACCGAUAGCGAACAAGUACAGUGAUGGAAAGAUGAAAAGAACUUUGAAAAGAGAGUGAAAAAGUACGUGAAAUUGUUGAAAGGGAAGGGCAUUAGAUCAGACUUGGUGUUUUACGAUUAUCUUCUCUUCUUGAGUUGUGCACUCGUAUUUCACUGGGCCAGCAUCGAUUCGGAUGGCAAGAUAAUGGCAGUUGAAUGUGGCUUCACUUCGGUGGAGUGUUAUAGCUUCUGCUGAUAUUGCCUGUCUGGAUCGAGGGCUGCGUCUUUGACUAGGAUGCGCCGAUUUAGG
rnacentral:rRNA from 1 species